rnacentral:rRNA from 1 species
CCAGUGUGAUGGAUAUCUGCAGAAUUCGCCCUUCAGGCCUAACACAUGCAAGUCGAGCGGCAGCGCGGGGCAACCUGGCGGCGAGCGGCGGACGGGUGAGGAAUGCAUCGGAAUCUACCCUGUCGUGGGGGAUAACGUAGGGAAACUUACGCUAAUACCGCAUACGACCGAGAGGUGAAAGUGGGGGACCGCAAGGCCUCACGCGAUAGGAUGAGCCGAUGCCGGAUUAGCUAGUUGGUGAGGUAAAGGCUCACCAAGGCGACGAUCCGUAGCUGGUCUGAGAGGAUGAUCAGCCACAUUGGGACUGAGACACGGCCCAAACUCCUACGGGAGGCAGCAGUGGGGAAUAUUGGACAAUGGGCGCAAGCCUGAUCCAGCCAUGCCGCGUGUGUGAAGAAGGCCUUCGGGUUGUAAAGCACUUUUGUUCGGGAAGAAAUCGUGCGGGUUAAUACCCAGUACGGAUGACGGUACCGAAAGAAUAAGCACCGGCUAACUUCGUGCCAGCAGCCGCGGUAAUACGAAGGGUGCAAGCGUUACUCGGAAUCACUGGGCGUAAAGCGUGCGUAGGCGGUUGGUUAAGUCUGCUGUGAAAGCCCUGGGCUCAACCUGGGAACUGCAGUGGAUACUGGCCAGCUAGAGUGUGAUAGAGGAUGGUGGAAUUCCCGGUGUAGCGGUGAAAUGCGUAGAGAUCGGGAGGAACACCAGUGGCGAAGGCGGCCAUCUGGAUCAACACUGACGCUGAGGCACGAAAGCGUGGGGAGCAAACAGGAUUAGAUACCCUGGUAGUCCACGCCCUAAACGAUGCGAACUGGACGUUGGGAGCAACUUGGCUCUCAGUGUCGAAGCUAACGCGCUAAGUUCGCCGCCUGGGGAGUACGGUCGCAAGACUGAAACUCAAAGGAAUUGACGGGGGCCCGCACAAGCGGUGGAGUAUGUGGUUUAAUUCGAUGCAACGCGAAGAACCUUACCUGGCCUUGACAUCCACGGAACUUACCAGAGAUGGUUUGGUGCCUUCGGAACCGUGAGACAGGUGCUGCAUGGCUGUCGUCAGCUCGUGUCGUGAGAUGUUGGGUUAAGUCCCGCAACGAGCGCAACCCUUGUCCUUAGUUGCCAGCACGUAAUGGUGGGAACUCUAAGGAGACUGCCGGUGACAAACCGGAGGAAGGUGGGGAUGACGUCAAGUCAUCAUGGCCCUUACGGCCAGGGCUACACACGUACUACAAUGGUCGGUACAAGAGGGUUGCAAAGCCCGCGAGGUAGAGCCAAUCCCAGAAAACCCGAUCCCAGUCCCGGAUCGAAGUCUGCAACUCGACUUCGUGAAGUCGGAAUCGCUAGUAAUCGCGGAUCAGAAUGCCGCGGUGAAUACGUUCCCGGGCCUUGUACACACCGCCCAAGGGCGAAUUCCAGCACACUGGCGGCCGUUACUAGUGGAUCCGAGCUCGGUACCAAGCUUGGCGUAAUCAUGGU